rnacentral:rRNA from 1 species
UACGUAGGGGGCUAGCGUUGUCCGGAUUUAUUGGGCGUAAAGAGCGUGUAGGCGGCCAGGUAGGUCCGGUGUGAAAACUCGAGGCUUAACCUCGAGAUGUCAUCGGAAACCAUCUGGCUAGAGUCCGGAAGAGGAAAGUGGAAUUCCUGGUGUAGCGGUGAAAUGCGCAGAUAUCAGGAAGAACACCAAUGGCGAAAGCAGCUUUCUGGGACGGUACUGACGCUAAGACGCGAAAGCGUGGGGAGCGAACAGG